UACGAAGGGGGCUAGCGUUGCUCGGAAUCACUGGGCGUAAAGCGCACGUAGGCGGCUUUUUAAGUCGGGGGUGAAAUCCUGGAGCUCAACUCCAGAACUGCCUUCGAUACUGAGGAGCUUGAGUCCGGGAGAGGUGAGUGGAACUGCGAGUGUAGAGGUGAAAUUCGUAGAUAUUCGCAAGAACACCAGUGGCGAAGGCGGCUCACUGGCCCGGUACUGACGCUGAGGUGCGAAAGCGUGGGGAGCAAACAGG
rnacentral:rRNA from 1 species